rnacentral:lncRNA from 1 species
AUGAAGACCAGGGGUUACAAACCUGAACCUCUCAGAGAUCAGGCUAGCAAGCCUGAGUCUCUCAACUUUGGAGGGAGGGAAGGGAGAUUUAGACAGACAGGUGUUCAGUCCAGUUCUGGUUCGGAUUCCAAGGAGGACACACACGGUGAUGCAAUUCACAAAAGGUGUAGCAAGCUUUGAAUUGUUUUACCUUGAGUAUACCUUCCUCCAUUGCUACUGCUGCUGCUGCUACCUGUUACUACUGCUGCUGCCACUUCUUGCUGCUGUAUGACACCAGUGCUUUGGAGCUCUGAACCUCACC